GACGAACGCUGGCGGCGUGCUUAACACAUGCAAGUCGAACGGAAAGGCUCCAGCUUGCUGGAGUACUCGAGUGGCGAACGGGUGAGUAACACGAGGGUGAUCUGCCCUGCACUUCGGGAUAAGCCUGGGAAACUGGGUCUAAUACCGGAUAGGACCGCACUUUGGUGUGUGUGGUGGAAAGGUUUUUCUGGUGUGGGAUGAGCUCGCGGCCUAUCAGUUUGUUGGUGGGGUAAUGGCCUACCAAGACGGCGACGGGUAGCCGGCCUGAGAGGGUGGACGGUCACAUUGGGACUGAGAUACGGCCCAGACUCCUACGGGAGGCAGCAGUGGGGAAUAUUGCACAAUGGGGGAAACCCUGAUGCAGCGACGCCGCGUGGGGGAUGAAGGCCUUCGGGUUGUAAACUCCUUUCGCUAGGGACGAAGCUUUUUGUGACGGUACCUGGAGAAGAAGCACCGGCUAACUACGUG
rnacentral:rRNA from 1 species